rnacentral:rRNA from 1 species
GACCGGCGCACGGGUGAGUAACGCGUAUGCAACCUACCUUAUACAGGGGAAUAGCCCGAAGAAAUUCGGAUUAAUGCUCCAUGGUUUAUCGAUAUGGCAUCGUAUUGAUAAUAAAGAUUUAUCGGUAUAAGAUGGGCAUGCGUAUCAUUAGCUAGUUGGUGUGGUAACGGCAUACCAAGGCAACGAUGAUUAGGGGUCCUGAGAGGGAGAUCCCCCACACUGGUACUGAGACACGGACCAGACUCCUACGGGAGGCAGCAGUGAGGAAUAUUGGUCAAUGGAGGCAACUCUGAACCAGCCAUGCCGCGUGCAGGAUGACGGUCCUAUGGAUUGUAAACUGCUUUUGUACAGGAAGAAACCUCCCUACGAGUAGGGACUUGACGGUACUGUAAGAAUAAGGAUCGGCUAACUCCGUGCCAGCAGCCGCGGUAAUACGGAGGAUCCGAGCGUUAUCCGGAAUUAUUGGGUUUAAAGGGUUCGUAGGCGGNNNNNUAAGUCAGUGGUGAAAUUUCNUAGCUUAACUANGACACNGCCAUUGAUACUGNNNNNCUUGAAUANUAUGGAAGUAACUAGAAUAUGUAGUGUAGCGGUGAAAUGCUUAGAUAUUACAUGGAAUACCAAUUGCGAAGGCAGGUUACUACGUAUUUAUUGACGCUGAUGAACGAAAGCGUGGGGAGCGAACAGGAUUAGAUACCCUGGUAGUCCACGCCGUAAACGAUGGAUACUAGCUGUUCGGUUUUCGGACUGAGUGGCUAAGCGAAAGUGAUAAGUAUCCCACCUGGGGAGUACGUUCGCAAGAAUGAAACUCAAAGGAAUUGACGGGGGCCCGCACAAGCGGUGGAGCAUGUGGUUUAAUUCGAUGAUACGCGAGGAACCUUACCAGGGCUUAAAUGUAGAUUGACAGAUUUGGAAACAGAUUUUUCUUCGGACAAUUUACAAGGUGCUGCAUGGUUGUCGUCAGCUCGUGCCGUGAGGUGUCAGGUUAAGUCCUAUAACGAGCGCAACCCCUAUUGUUAGUUACCAGCGCGUNNNGGCGGGGACUCUAGCAAGACUGCCGGUGCAAACCGUGAGGAAGGUGGGGAUGACGUCAAAUCAUCACGGCCCUUACGUCCUGGGCUACACACGUGCUACAAUGGCAAGUACAGAAAGCAGCUACCUGGCAACAGGAUGCGAAUCUCCAAAGCUUGUCUCAGUUCGGAUUGGAGUCUGCAACUCGACU